ensembl:snRNA U6 U6 spliceosomal RNA
GUGCAUUCACUUAUUCUGCUGCACAUAUACUAAAAUUAGAACAACGCAGAGAACAUUAGCCUGGCCCUUGAGCAAGGAUGACAGGAAAAUUUGUGAGUCACUCCAGACUUUU